rnacentral:misc_RNA from 1 species
GAUGAAGAACGUAGCGAAAUGCGAUAAGUAAUGUGAAUUGCAGAAUUCAGUGAAUCAUCGAAUCUUUGAACGCGCAUUGCGUCCGCCAGUAUUCUGGCGGGCAUGCCUGUUCGAGCGUCAUUACAACCCUCAGGCCCCCGGGCCUGGCGUUGGGGAUCGGCGGAGCCCCCCGUGGGCACACGCCGUCCCCCAAAUACAGUGGCGGUCCCGCCGCAGCUUCCAUCGCGUAGUAGCUAACACCUCGCGACUGGAGAGCGGCGCGGCCACGCCGUAAAACACCCAACUCUUCUGAAGUUGACCUCGAAUCAGGUAGGAAUACCCGCUGAACUUAAGCAUAUCAAUAAGCGGAGGA